UCCUAGAAGGGAGUGAGUCACUUGUGGAGC
rnacentral:piRNA from 1 species